ensembl:lncRNA
UGAGAUGCUAAUGAGGUUUAUUUACAAAGGUGUAGUGGCAGACAAGCAGUGGGGCAUGACAAAUAACUGAAGACACCUAAACUGGGAGAACUAAAAUAACAGACCUGGAAGCAUACGACAAAGGGCUGAGACGCAGCCAAGGAACAGGACACCGUUGAACACAGGGUAACCGCAGACUGACACGGCGUAACACAGACGAACCAGCAACAGGCAGGAGAACACACAGGGCUUAAAUACACACACCAGUAAUCAGGGGAUGAGAGACAGGAGGGCAACACAGCUGGGAGGAAUCAGAGCUGAGGGGACAGGGGAAACGUAAACAGAACACACUCACAUCAGACAGAGACCUUCACAAUAAAACAGGAAACUCAGACACAGGGAACCAAACAAGACACAGAACUAAACAGACAGAUUCACAAACAGUUGGGGUGACACCAUAGACAGAGACACAGACGCAGACUCAGAGGCAGACCAAACAUAACACAUAGAACUCAAACAAUAAUCAUCAUCAUCAUCAUAAUAAACUAGAAAAUGAUAACAAACUAAAAGCGCUGGGUAACCGACCCAGGACCAUGACAGUUUGUAAACUUACAGUCUGUAUAGCAGGAUGCAGACAGACAGCAGAGAGACGCAAACCUCCCAGCACCCUCUUAGUUAGGACAUCAACAUCAACAUCAACAUCCUCUUUGCUGUUGCAUGCUGGGGCAGCAGGUUGAGAUUUGCAGAUGAAAAGAAACUCAAUAGACUGACCCACAAGGCCAGAAAGUUGUCAGGAGCUGGACUCUCUUAACGUAGAGACAGAGAGGUGGAUGUUGUCCAAGGUAAGGACAAUACCUCCCACCCACUCAAUGACAUGCUGGCCAGUCACAGGAGCACGUUCAGUGAGAGACUGAGAUUACUGAUAAUGUACGCAUGAACGACACGGAAAAUCCUUUCUACCUGUGGAUGUGUUUCAGUAGAACUCUUCCAUCUAAUGUACAGGACACAUUCCGAUAGCUCUACACCCUUGAUAUUUGCACAUCCCCUUUUGAGAGAAUUAAGUUUUAAAGUUUGGUAAGAGGAGUACUAGAGGGUAAUGGUCUUCAGGUGCUGCAACUCUGGCCCUUUAGAUAGAGAGAGCAGGUUGGGUUAUCUGUUCCACAAUUAUUUAAAUUAAACAAUCAUCAAUGGAGCUGUGAUAUAAGGAUUCCUGGUGCUCACAAGUACAACAACAAAGCCAGAAAUUCAAAAAGACGUUUAUCCAUGCAAUCAGUACCUACCUAGCUUACAUUUUCAAGUUAUCAACAAUAACUCUGGAUUAUGGACAAAGCCAAAAUGGACUUUUUGAGUAAGAAUGUCAUAAAGUUUUUAUGUGUCAGUUAGAAUGAUUAUUUUCUUUGUUCCCUGAUUAGACUAGAACAAUUAAAUAAAUAUAUAAAAAAUACAUAUGGUGAUUGUACAGGGUUCAGGAUGGGGUAAACCCUCAUGAACAACAGUAACAUCCUGUAAUAGAGUCACAGAAACAAUUUUUAGCUGAUAAAUCCAGUGAUCGCUGCCUCUGUCCUCAUUCAGAUUAGUAUAUUUUAUUACAAAAAUAAUUAACUCUUACCUAACAGACUUCAGUGUCUGUAAACACCCACACUUGUGUAGAUUAGAGAUCCGAUAUCAAUUGUACGAUAUAGGACAUUAGAAAGUCUGACUUGACAGGAGGAUUCAAAGAAAACCUGCCUCCUUCUCUACCGUGUCUCCUUCAUCCAUCCUCAAAAUUAAAGCCAGUCUGCUGUGAGAGACUGAACCAGCAGAGUUCACAUUAAAUGGUCACACUUAUGGCUAUAUAGCAUCACACAGACUCUGACAUUUAAAAAAAAACAAAAAAAACCGACAAAUACAUCAGAAAAAAAACAAAUAUUUACUUCAAUCAUUAACACAAUUAGACAACAUGUAAAAACAAAUAAUUUGAUUAAAAAAAACAAAUUCCAUAUAUUAGCAUGUUUUAGCAUCUUAAAUACUGCACAACAGAUUUCAUGAUUAGAUGUCUCCAUAAAUAAAUACAUGUUCAAAUGUCCACCUUUGCACAGGUAUAGAAACAGGUUCAUUCUCUGUUGACAGUUUCUUACUUUAUACAAACUCUACAGGGGUGAUUUUUUUAACAUCCACCUGGAUGCUGGAGAUAAACUUAUCAACCCACACAUGGAGGCUUUAAGAUGUGGAGUCUAGCCAAAGGUUGGUGUCACCGUGUCCAAGUCCUUCAUUUAUACAGUUUAUAAUUAUACCAGGAAAGUGAAGCUCUCGCCACGACCUGUUGAUCAUGUGUUUUAUCCACUCUAAAAGUUGAAGUUACAGGAACUCUGAGAUGUGUCCAUCCUGCUGCUGUGGUCAUCAUCUUAAUGACAGGAUGACGCUGUGGGAAACUCUGGUUUGUCUGAUGUUCAGGGGUCCAAACCCAGAGUGCAGUUCAUGUAUUCAUGAGAAAAAAAAAAAUCUGUCUCCGUCUCUUUCCGUUACACGGAGUUAAAGGAAAAAAUGGUUUGCUUCAGACAAACAUCUUGAUCAGCAGGAAGGUCAUGAGAAUUCUUCUCCUUGCAUGUAACGAAUUUAUAAAUUAUCCCAGCAAUGACUGCAAAGAGCAACAAAGUACAAACUGUCAGUCCAACUUUGAGUCCGACAGAUUGAUCCUCCUUCCCUCCAUCCUCUGUGUGUCCUCCUGGCUGACCUGCAGGUGAGAAACAGGUGUGAGGUGUCAGCUGUCAGGUAGGUGAUGAGUGAAGAACAGAACAGAAUCCAUUUCCUCUUCAAACUGCUGUCAGACAUUAUCUACUGCACUCUGAUCACAACACCCCGGCUAGCUAUCGAGCUGGUGGGUAAAAUAUGUCUCCGAAAACGUCGGAGUGCUUUUGCAAAUAUGUGAUGUCUUUAAAAACCGAGCAGAUAUUUGAACUUUACACAGCUACAUUCUCGCCUGAAAAUAUGUUAAAAGUUUGUUUUGUGACGCAGAAAGAGUAAUAAGAGUAAUAUUAAAACUAAGUAGCUGCCGCCAUUGUUCGAAACUGGAAUAGGCUGGGCUGCGCUAUGAAUUCUGGGAUAGGUUGGGCCACGAACGAUACACCCGACCCAUCCUUCAAAUCCGGAGAAAUGAAGGACCCAUUUCUGGGCCGCAUUUGUCGGAGUCUUCGAAAUUGGACAGCCUUCGUCGUGUCGCAUUGAUGUAAUGCGGCCUCAGGAGGAUGUGGUUCCUGUAUUUGGACACAGCUAGGAUACUGGACACAGCUUCUUCUUCUUCUUCGAGGUUUAACGGCAGCUGGCAUCCUUGUACAUGCAGCGCUGCCAUCUUCUGUUUCAGUCCGUUAUUACACUCUUAAAUCCUACUUAUUCCAGCGUCUUUUGGGAUCUUACAAAGCUUCAAACGACUAUUAAAUUAGUCGUCGACGAUUUUGAUAGUCAACGUAAUCGUGACUAGUCGACUAAUCGUGGCAGCCCUAGUUUCAUUUUAAUAGACAACUUUUGUACACAAACGUCAACUCGACACCCACUUGAGAUAUAAACACAGAUCCUGCAUCGAGCUUGUAAGAUCUUCAGGGUGUCAGACUGUGGGAUGCAAUUUUUUCAUUCAAUGAGGAAAGAUUCUAAAAGAAAACAUGGCAAUACAAUUGAAACAUGGCAAAAACAGGUAAUUUUCUACAGGUGACACUAAGUUAAACUAUAGCUUAAUGAACAAUGUUUUAAUUAUAAUAUAUCAUAUAUACAGUAUGUUUAGUUUUUAUUUAAAAGUGCAUCAUAAAUACACUUAUAACAUCUGUAAGCACACUUCUGGUUAAUAAUGCAGCAAGUUAUUAUUGGCUCUCUCUGUCUGGACAAAUUAAUUUGAGUUAAGGGUAUAAACUCACACCGUCAUCUUCAUCCGGGUUACCACACACACAAAAUAGAUUAAGCCUUGCCACACUCGUCUAUACAACUCCUCAUUCAACAAUCAUUUUCAGUGAGCCAGCAGAUCACACACAAGUUACAGUACGAGCAUAAGUGCUAACAAUAUGUCAUUGUUUUACAAAAAAACCCAAACUACUCACCCAUGACACCUUCAUGUUUCACACCCACCAUUGGCUUCAAUGCCCAAAUCCCAAGUCCUGGGGGGUGUACUCAUCCUCCUGUCUGCUCUCCUUCCGCUCUGGAGCACCAGUUUUUUGUUUGUUUGUUUUUUGGUUGACAAACCCAAAGAAAACAAAAAACCCUUCAAAAUGAAAAUAUUUUUCUUCUACUUAGUGUGUCCCUAACACUCAUUUUCCUCAGAGCUCCUCUUUUGCAGAGUUGGUUCAAGUGAUGUAUUUCCCAAAAACAUUUCAAAAAUGCCUUUUUAAUCAGUGGAGUGUAAACUCCCCAAGUAAAUAUUGCAGUUUGAUAUUUGGACGUGUCAGUAGAACUCAUGUGGCACCUAGUUUACUGGAAUUCUGCGAAUAUGAGCAUCCAGUGUGACGUUGUAGAGGCGGCCCUCCUACUUUUUCGGCCGUGGGGGGAUUUGAUACACUACAAUGCAUCAGUCGCGUCAUCUCUAUUCACUCCAAUGGAUCAGUUUUGUUUUUUGUUUUGUUACAGCGAUGGCAGACGGAGCACAAGAGAGAGGAUUUUAUUAUGGAUUUCAAAAUCUUAUCUGGUUUUCUUAUUCAGUUCAAUUUCAUUUAUAUAUCGCCAAAUCACAACAAUAGUCGCCUUAGGGCGAGCCCCCAUAUGGCUAAGAAAAUGUCUGGAGGCGGCCCUGUUUGCAAGCAUAUUUGUGCCUGCGUCUUUUUUACCUUAUAAAAACAUCUGAACAAAAUUAAAGAAAUGUUAUAUAUUGGCACUCUUGAAAGGCGUUUUUUGUAUGUCUAUUAAAGUUAUUAGCAGAAAAUUGAUUGCAGCUUCUCCCUUUUGACAGGAACGUUGUUUGUGGCUCAAUGUUUGACAAGUAAGCGCCGCAGGGAACAAUCUCAAGUCUUCAUGUUUAAACUCGCGACUCUCCCAAUCAACAGCUCCCAAACCUCCGACCAACGCGCCAUCUACGAUGACCUGACGUCGCCACAACUUUAAGAUUUUGGAAAAAAUUUUAACCAAUAAAAGGCUUCAAAUACUUAAUCACACAAAAUGACGUUUUCACAGUCAGCGGGGGUGAUUUGUUUUGGAGUGUUCAGUGAUGUUAUGAAUAACAGAACACGGUUCGGCGCCGAGGCGAAAUCUCACCGGCGAAAGUGGACGCGGUGGCGACGACAACGAGCAUCAGAAUCCAGCAGGGCCACGAAAACGUUACAACAGCCAUUUGCGCUUAACCUAAAACAGCAAAGAAUGAGGAAGGAAUAGACGCAGGGUUAAAGUCACGGAGUCCAGUUAGUUUACGUACACAGUAAAGAUUUACUGAAAUAUCCGUUUGUUUACCGUCGUUUUAAACUACGACAGAAAAUGAUGUGACGUUGCUGUACCAGCUCGUACCGUGAACCCGUUUAAACGUUAGCGCUUUACAGAUUAAUGGUGAAUAACACGGUAAACAUCGAGGGUCACGUUCAAUGUGUCAGUAAAAACAGAGACGCCGGUAAACGUUUCUCUUUUAAAGGUUUUCCGUCAGUUACUCACGAGCUCUCAGCCACGUACAGCCAACACGACCACGGUGGAAACUACUCUG